ensembl:lncRNA
GUUUGAGUCUCCAGUGAGACACGCACUGUUUCCAUCUGCAUUUGCAGCUGCCACGUUACAGACUCCUCGGUGUGAAGCUGCAAGCCUCUGAUGGUCUCCUUGUGUCUUCCAGUUCAGUAGGCCCAUGUACAGACAGGUGGAAAUGCAUAUGGAAUAACUUUCAUUUCUCCUCCCCAUUCUGAUUAAGUCUAUAGGUAUGGGCCCAGGAGGAUGCUCUUAGCCAUGGCUGAUCCGGCCAAGAGUAUUCACUAGACCCCAAGCUACAGCAUUCACAUUCUCUCUCCUAAGAAUUUUGCAUCAAGUCUGAAAUACUCAGAGCUAAUUUCUAUGUGUCAUGGAUGGAGUCAAAAAAAGAAGGUGUUGUUCUGCUUUGAAUUCCAUUUGGGAGAUGCAGCGUGGUGUGUUUUUCCCCAUUUGAACCAGAGUGGCAAAGAAAGCCAGUUUUCAGAGAAAGAGAAAAGCAGGAAGUGGAAACAGGAAAUGAAAGAGACUCCUUCAGACUUUAAGAGGCAACCUCCGAGGCUGGUUCCAGCCCUUCUGGAAGCCGGGCUGCAUCCCUGCCCUUGGGUUCCAGGAGGCACUCCUGAAUGUUGACUACUAUUUCUCUCUUUUUGCUUGAGCAAAGUUAACUCAUUUAAACAAGCCCAUGGUUCUUGUAACUGCUGAGUCCUAUAUCUUGUAAUCACCAACAUCUGAGUGCCCCUUGCUCUUCUUAGUGAUUUUUUUUUUAGAUUUGGUUAUUAUUACAAGAUUUAGCCCUUCUCUAUUUCACAUCCACAUUCAUUAUUGUGUGUUUCUAGUUACAUGUCUUUGUGUGUGAGAGAGAGACAGACAGAGAGACAGAGACAGAGAGGGAACUGACAUAGAAAACUCUGACCUAAAUAUAGAAGUUUUAAAAUAAAGACAUUCUUUGAGGCCAAAUUGUUCCCAAAAAGGGCAUCUAGCUAACCCCAAAGUGUCCUGCAGGGUGGCCUACGUCUGUGGACUCCCUUGUCCAUGGGGCCUGGCUCUCAUCACACAGACUUGGGAAUUCAGGUUUCUCUGUGUCUUGCACUUGUAAUGUUCUUAUGAGACAGACGCCUAAGUUUAGAACGGAAUUCUGGCUUUUUAGCUUAAAAUAAAACCUACAACUGCCAAAGGGACAAGUUAUUAUUAUCUGCUGGCAGCAUGUUUUCUUCUUCCAGGAAGAACACACUGGGAAACCAAGAUAGCAUCAGAGUGUUCUUAACAAUUAAGGAAUCAGACAGGAGGGUGAUUCCAGGUUUAAUGGCAUUAGUCGUGGGAGCCUGCAUCCUAGCCUGCGCCAGGGUCUCUCAGAUGCUGUGACUGGUCCGUGGCCUGGGUGAGCACUGUCCCAUUUGUCUAAGAGACCUCAUGCCUUGCUCCAUGACAGGCCGUGCCUCUUUGAGAAGGACACAUUUUUUCCUUUAGCCGUAUUCCAGGGUAUAGCAUGGAAACCAGUCUAUUGCAUUGAGGGGGUCCAACCUCAUUUGUAUUGAUUCAGAGGGUGACCUUAUGUAAUGGAAGUCAUAUUUCUCCAAAAUAUAAAACAAUGUAUAUUCUUUCUGGGUCACUCUUUAAUUGUUUCUGGUUGCUUUAUACCUUUGAAGGAGAGGCAUUCCUGACCUUAGAGAGAGGAAGAUGGAGACUAGAAUAAAAAAGAAAUUGCUCAUCUUUGAACCCCAGAUUAGAGUUUAAGGCCAUGGCCAGAUAAUAGUCUAAGCUAAAAUGUCAUUAAUUGUAAUAUGUGCAAUAGGAAAGAAAAGAAAUGCUCCCAAGUAACUAUGACCUAUCACCUGUUGCAAGAUGUGUCUUAAAAUGUGGUGAAAAACUGUGCCAGGCUUUUUUGAGGGACAAAAGGCAUUUAUUUGAAACACCUCAAACUAGGCUUUACAUUUCAAGAGUCAGGGAGGAAAAGUGGACCCACAAACUGAAGAGUAAGCUGGUCUAGACCAGGACAGUGGGGACCUUCUACCACAUAGCCACAGAGGAAUGUCCUGUAGGUAAUGGGAAGAGGCCAUGGAAAGAGAAAAAGGAGAAAGCAAGAGCUUAGCUCUUACAGUCAAGUCUGGAAGCGGGAGUAGAAACCUAUGGUUAUUGGGCUGGUGGCCUCUUCCUCCUGGGGUAGCCUGGGAGGUGGCGAUUCCCCCAGAGAAGCUGGGUGCAGAGUGAGACUCGGCUUGGAGCUGGGCACAGGAGAAUCACAGAGCCCAGGGAGCUGCCACCAGUAGAGUGGGAGGAGCCACAGGGAGUUUCUGGGAGCAGCAGGCUGGAAUCCAGGGGCCUCACAUCUGUGACAAUGGCGAGGCCCACAGCUAUGGACACUGGGUGGCUUGAUGCCCCACACCCUGGGCGAGACCUUUCACACCACAGUAGACACACAGUGCACAGGAUGCAACAAGGACCCAAAGGCAGGGACUACCACCAUUGACUAAGAGGAUGAAACAUCUCACCAGGGACAGCUUGGGUUGGGGUCCCCUCCACAAUGCCAGCAUGGGAGGCAGUCCCUGCAGGAUGCUAGAUCAACCUUAGGGAGAGGACCAAGAGGGAGAAAGCCUGGAAGGCUCUUUACCAAGAGUUACUGAGGUUUCAAAUAAGCUGUGACAGAGAUAACAACACCUGUAUUUGGCUAAAAACCUUGACAUGCUGCAACUCAUUUAUUCUUACAUUUAUUCAUUCAAUAAAUAUUCAUUGAGCACAUACUCCAUACCAGGCAGUGUUCUCAGUAUUUGGGAUGUAUCUAGGAACAAAUCAGACAAAAUCCCUAUGCACCUGGAGCUUACGUUCUACGGUAUGUGGACAUAAAAUAAACUGUAAACAUAAUAAAAAAGAGAACUGCAUAGCAUGUGAAAAGGUGAAUGUGGAAGAUAAGUGUCUGCCUCAAGAAGACUGAGCUUGAGAACAAAAUUGUGCUUAGUUACACAAUAUAUAUUUCCUAUCUGAGCCCCUAUACUUACUUUAUGCCAGUGUUGCCUCCCUCUGAGUAACACUGAACGACAGAAAAAUGAACCCAAGAUAGGCCCUACCCUCAAGGAAUUGCCAGUCCAGCCUGUGAGUUCGUACAAUGAGCUUCACGGGGGCAGGACUCAUGACCUUGCCUUCAUUUAAUAAAUAUUUACCAAGACCCUAGUAAAACAUAUGCCAGGCACUGGGCACUCACAUAACACAUAUAACACACACUCACACACAUAAAACAUUCACAAAACGCACACAACACACACACAAAAUAUACACAUACCACAAACACAACACGUGCAACAGUUACACAACAUACACACAGUCACACAACAUACAGUAUCAACACACACGCAAAACACACACAUUCACACAACACACACAGAAAGCAUACACACAACAAACACAGCACACACACACACAAUAUCUACACUCGCACAACACACACAUCGAAGUCUCCAUGCUGAAAUAUUUUAACAUUUAAGACCACAUGACAGAGACAUGGGUCGAUCUACCCAAAUAAGCACGGGAAAGGUAAUGAUGCUGAGGUGGUGACUGAGAGCCCAAGGCCUCAGCGCAGGCUUUCCGAUCCAGCCAUUUCAGGAGAACACCAUCUGUCCACCUGGGUUCGCAAAGGAGGGUUACGGAGUUCUGAGAAGGGAUUUAUGACCGUGAGAAUGAUUUACAACUAAAAGCCACCUGCGUGAACAACCAAGAGCUAGUGCUCUGCACUUGUUAGUAAUUUCCAUUCAGACUCUCAAACUCUGUCCCCACUGGGCUAAGAAGGCCAUCUGGUGCCAGAUGCACCUUCCAUCCACCUCAACACCUGAGGCUUCAAUGAGUGUCACAACUGCAUUGUGAAAUUGUGUCAUUGGUGUUUCAGUUCCAGAAUUUAAUCUCGUGCAGUUGAGUUUAAAACAAUAACCUACUGACUGCAUGAAAUUUAAUUUUCAGCAGAUCAAAGGAAGUACAAUUUGGUUUCCAUAGAAAAUAUUCCGACUUCGCGUGGGAGUACAAAGAGUUUUGAAUGGGAAAACUCUCUGUGGACAAAGGCAUAUUUUUGAAGUGCAGUAAGGAGCUCAUGUUUUAACUUUAUGCUCGAAUUAUCAAAAGAAAGUUCCGGCCUAACCUCAGCAUGAAGUUACAAUUUUCACCAUUACCGUCCAGCUCCCAGGGUUGUAUGCUUAUUUUGAGCAAUUUAAAUAUAGAUAUACGCAUGUAUUUCUUUUCUUGAUACUUUACAAACACAUUCUUUACCACGCCAGAGGACUGAUUUUGAUGGGAAAAUUCCAGGAGGUAGCAGCUUCGACACUUUCCCAAGGUCUUAAUGGGAGUAACUCUCGAAACUCAAGUGCUCCGGACACAGGAAGAGUUUACUGCCUGGCAGGGCUCCUCCCCGGCCCCCAUCUCCAAGCCCUUCCGGAGAAACCCUUGUUACAUUCCCCAAGGGGUCGUACAGACUUGGAAACACAUCUAAACAGGCAACAAGCUGCCUCAAGUCCCCUUCAUAACAAGAUGAGAUUCACCUAAAUAAAUAAGCAGAGAACUUUCCAGAAGAAAGUUAGGAUGGAGGCUGAAAGAUGGCUUUUUGAAUACAGAAGUGACUGAAGAGAAAUGCUGGCAGCUGUUGAACGAUCUGAGAAGUUGGCGGUGACUAACAGUAAUAUGGGCAACCACUCUAUUUUGUGAUGCCGACAGGAGAGCCAAGCAACAAACGUCGGUCCGUGGGGAUGCCACAAACAGCGUGAAGUCAGAGAGGAGAGGCCCACGAUGCCUCCAGCUCUGCUCUUUCUGGUUGUGCUUCAUCAGCCUCAGGUCUCCCAUCUGUCACACGGGGAUAGUAGAGCCCAGCCUGGCAGGCUGGUGAAAAUACAGAGAAAGUGUUUAUUGCUGUAGUCACACCUGGCAGGUGCUUCGUGUUGUUAUUUUUGGCCCCCCAAAGAUAGGUGUGCAAGACGCUCAAGUGUGGAGUAAGGAUGUCUUCCCAAUCCAAAAUUGGACUUGAGGUUUGAUGAGAAAGGGUGUAGAUAUGGGACAAUACUGCCCAAUAUUUAGAACUAAGACAUUAAAACUAAGACUUCUGAUAUUUUAUUUCCUUAAACUUUGUCAUGUAUCUGAGAUUCAUAUGUAAAUAAGAUUAUCUUUUUAAAGUGAUUUUUUUCCUUCCUCGUGUAUCAUUAGAUUCUUUCAAACUGGGUCAAACCCAUGGCAAUGAGACCAUGAAUUAACAUGAGAACAGUAAGAAGCAGAACUGAGGAACUAUAGAUAUGAAAAGUUUAUCUAGAAAAAUGUAACCUGGUCAUAAAGAAAAUACUAGGACCAAGGAUAGAGUCUGCUAACAGGGUUUCACUCAUUUCUUCCAGUGGAGAAAAAGCAAGCCCAAGAGGUUUUCAGGACAUUGGCCAUCCUCCCCACCCACCUUUUUCUUUUUUUGUAUCCUCUAAAAAGUUUAACACAGAACAAAGCACUCAAUAAGAAUUUUUCGGUACUUUAAAAUCAGACUUAGACAAAGUGAUCUCAACUCCAGGGAAACUGCUCUCUCUACCCCUGUUUAGGCUGAAUCACUAGCAGCGCUUACAGACUUUCUUACACGUAAAAUUCCCCGAAUACACUGACGAGCAUUUAGAUGCAAUAAGAUUAAUCGAGAAACAUCAUUUGCAGAAGUAUGUUGGCCAUUUACGCCAAAAUCUGGCUGACCUUUAAAUUUUAUUUUUCUAUUUUGAAGAAGAAGAAGAAAAAGAAAGCAGUUACGGUUUUAUUUACUUAAGAGUCGGUAUGACCCAAAAUUGUUACAUAAGUAACAUGCUAACCAUCAAACCUCCUAAUGGCACACUUAAUCUUUUUAUAUUCAGAGUUUCCUUGUGACUACUUGAGAUGACAAGAUUACAUGUGCGGGAAGAGGGGAAAUCUCUUAAAUUUCUUCCUCACAAGAAGGACUGGGAGGAACAAAGGAAUUGUUAGAAGUUAGAGAAGAGAAGCGAGAGAAAUAAGGCAGCAAUUAGGAAAAGUGCGAACCCCCUCAUGCGAUACACCCACCUUGUCAGUACAAAACUGACGCGUGACCUACAUGGGCUUCUUUUCCAUCUUGUCAAACUGACUGUUUUCCUCUAAACAAUCCAGAUUAGCGGGAUAAAUAGUGCUAGGCAAGUCCCUAUUUGCCCUUUGCUUCAACCUUGGCAGUUAAAACCACUCACGCAGGGCUCCACCGCCUCCAGGAGAAAGCCCAGACCACCAGGGCUCACAUUCUGGGCUCACAUUCCAGACCCGCCUCGGUCUCCCCUGAUUCUACCUUUUUGAACACACUUUUCUCCUUGCCCUUCAUGCUUCUAGGCUUGAGUCAAACACAGUCUCCUUGCCAGCUUCCCCAGUGGCUACUCAUUCCCUCUGCCCAGAAUGUUAACUUUCUUCCUCCUCCAGCUCAUGCCCUCCUCCUCCUCACCCUUCCAGGACCGUCCUAAACACCGUUUUCCCACCCCUCCAACCAGGGGAACAGGGUGACCAUCGCCCCUAUCCCUACCCCUUGGCUUCCCCUCCCCCCUCUGAUGGCACUGGCAACCCCGACUUUGUGGGGCUUGAGUUCUUCCCUACUCUGAUACUCAUCAAAUGCUUAAAGGUAGGCUCCUUCUCUGACGGACUCUAUCCUGAACAGAGCAGAUGUUGGAAUCUUUGCCAAUGAAGGAAAGUGGCUACAUUUACACUACUUAUGCCCGCCAAGCCUUAGAAAAUUCAAAGCACACUUACAGGAUAGAGAGCCUUUGAUAACUUCCAGGGACAAGGGUUUCUGGGAAGUGGACCCAAAUUCUCCCAGCAGGCAGGAUUUGGCAAUCACUCCAGACAGCCUUUUUCUAGCCAGCUUCCUGUUUGCUUGGGUAAUUUACUGAAUUUAUGGCUGUCUAGUUCCCGGGUCAGUGAUUCUCAAACCACAUUAUACCAGCUGCACGGUAUAAUCACCUGGCGAGAAUUUGAAAAUCCCUGUGCCGAUGCUGUGUCCCAGACCAACACAUCAGACCCUCUUGGGGUGGGGCCCAGGCCUCAGCAUUUUUUGAGGCUCCCCAGGUGAUUCCAAUGUGCAGCCGGGAUGGACAACCACUGGCCUAGACCAUGGCGGAUGAUCAGAUUCAGAGACGUGUGUUCUAUACGUAUGUAACUGAGUGGGUCCACUAACACAACAACACUUGUUUUCUACACCGACCCCACAGACAGGGCCGGGCGAAAGAAGAGAGCUGUGCUUCAGGGGCUGACUCACAAACAGCAGGUUUCCCUAGAACAGUCAUUUAGGAUCUGGAUAUUAGUGCCAGACGAAGGGAAGGACCUGUCCCCGCCACCGCCCCCCGCACCCCCACCAGCAUUGUUCACUUUCCUAUGAACCUAGUUUCUGGACGCUACGUCACAUUACCUUACCAAAUUUCUUAAAAAUUUCAACUGGGAAAAAGAGUUUAGAACUCUGAUCUCGCAGUUAAAUAAAUCUCAGAAUUUGAGGUUGAUGAUAAAUAUUCAAGUACAGUAUGUGAUGGUGGGUGUAAUUUCCCACAUUAUUACAAAAGAAAAAAUGUAACCUCCCCUUCUCUCUCUGAGUCAUCUCAGUAACCCAUGGUGUUAAUCUGGAGAAAUGCUUAAACCUUGAGGGAAAUUCAUUCACAGAGGUAGUCACGGCAAGUUCACAGGAGAUUUUUUAAUCAACUAAGACCAAGUACGCGUUCUAUCACCGACUAUAAUCAUGUAUUUUCCAUCCAGGAAAGAAACCCUGUGAAUCUUUGCAUAUGAUUUUACAGAUUAUGCUUUUUGUUGCUUUUCUUUUCCAGCUGUAUUGAGAUAUAAUUGACGUAUAACUUUGUGUAAGUUUAAUGUUCAACGUGUUGAUUUGAUACAUUUGUACACUGCAAAAUGAUUACCACCAUGGAGUUAGCUCACACCUCCAUUCUGUCACAUAAUUACCACUGCUUUGUUGUGGCGAGAACAUUUCAGAUCUACUCUCUUAGCAACUUUCAAGUAUAUAGUACAGUGUGUUGGCUAUAAUCACUGUGCUGUACAUUAGAUCCCCAAACUUGUUCAUCUUACACUGGAAGUUUGUACCCUUUGACCAACAUCUCCCCAUUUCCCCCACCCCUCAACCCCUGGUAACACCACCCUACUCUUCGUUUCUCUGUGUUCAUCUUUUUUGGAUUUCACAUGUAAGUGAUAUAAAGUAUUUGUCUUUCUCUUAUUUCACUUAGCAUAAUGUUCUCAAGUUCCAUCCAUAUUGUCAGAAACAGCAGAAUUUCCUUCUUUCUCAUGGCUGACUAAUAUUCCAUUGUCUGUAUACACACAUACCACAUUUCUUUAUCCAUUCAUCCCUUCAUGGACACUUAGAUUGUUUCCAUAUCUUGGCUGUUGGGAAUAAUGCUGCAAUGCCCAUGGGAGUACAGCUAUCUUUUUUAGAUCCUAUUUUCACUUCCUUUGGAUAUAUACUCAAAAGUGGGAUUGCUGGCUCAUAUAGUAGUUCUACUUUUAAUUUUCAAGGAAACUCUAUACCGUUUUCCAUAGUCGCUAUCCCAGUUGACAUUCCCGCCCAUAGUGUACAGGGGCCCCCUUUGCUCCACACCUUUGCCAGCACUUAUCUCUCACCUUAUUAACGUGUAGAUUAUCCUUUAACAGACGGGUGAGACUCUUUGUGAACCAGGUUUCCCCACCUACUUCAGACAGGGUCUGCUUCAUCAUUCCAGAGAAAUAUCUAUCAAGUCCCUAUUAUAGUUGAAUUUGUACUUUAUUAUUACAUGUACUUUCUUUGUAUUGAUUUUGGCUUAAAUAUUAUCUACUGAUCAUUUCAGAGUCUAGAAAAUAAACUUUGUACGUAAUACCUUUUUAAAAAGCUAGCUUACAGAUCACAUGUGUCAGUUUGGAUGCUAAAUUCCUAUCAGAGGCGGUAGACGGCAGCCUUAUUCAAGUGUUCCAUGUGAGUGAGCUCUGAAGAACUUCAUCACUCAUACAAGUUUGACUACUUCAACCAUGUCUUAAAAGGAACCAUUUCAUGAACUACUAUUUCUCUUUGUCAAGCCCCCUUAUCAUUUCAGCACAAUGAGAUGUAAAGAGGCUUGAGGGGCACAGAUCUGUGUUCAAAUACUGUCUCUGUUAUUCAUUUGCUACAGUCUCAAGAAACUGCGUAUCUCUGGGCCUCAGUUCCCUUCCAGACAAAUUAAAAACAAUAAAACCUGCGUAAGGAACACAGAUGAUGUCUGAAAAGCACCUAGACAUUGUCAUGAGGAGACAGAUGAAAGACUGCCGAUUCUGGUUCAUUCAAGAACUGCCAGGCAAGGCUGGUACCUGGGUAGGGAGGCCCAGCACCACCGGCAUCUCCAGGAUAGGACGGCUGCUAAUCAUCCCAGAACAAAGAGAUCAAAGGGCCAGCAAAUGAAAUCACAGGUAAUAAAUGGUCCAAGUAAAGUUACCCCAGGAUUUUCAGUCAAGUUCUACCCUCUUGCUAACUCCAGGAAUAGAAUUAGGGAAGCAACACCAAGCUUUGGGGAGCACACUCAUGGCUUUGGAAUGUGUUGGUUUUGUGGCCCAUGUUGGACUAUGUUGUUGGCAUAAAUGACUGAGUAGCUACAGUCAUCAAAAGCAACACUGCUUACCUCACCCCAGAAAGGACUCACUGUCAAGAGGUUCAGCAUGUUUAGAAAAAAGACAGGGGAUAAUUUAGAAGUGUUUUCACUUCCAAUAAUUUCCCGUCAAAGGACUCAAAGGCAAACAUCUACAAGAGACACAAACAUGCCAUUGCCUAGUUCUGUACCAACGUCAUCACUCAUCUCUUCGUGGGUUUGGGGAAAGUCUGAAUGCUUCAGACAGCAAAUUCGCUAAAAUCCUCACUAAAAUUUUAGUCUUUAGAGCUAGUCAUACCAUUGUUGUGGACAGAUUAAGAACAGAUAUCGGAAAACCAAAAGCCUAAAAAUCCAUGAAUCCUGAAAUAUUCAUUUCAAUUGUGAUUAGCACAGAUACAUAUCAAGGCUUAUAAAUAUGUCUCUGGAAUUUUCUUUUGUAAAUAUUCCUUCAGCUGCCUCUUUUACCUAUGAUCAUCACUCAACAAACGCCAGCCCCAACCCAUCUUGCAUUCGCCUGGGCUUUUCUGUCCAGAUUGAGCACCUAGAAUUUACCCAUGGAGUCCCUUCUUCUCAGAAAUGAACCGUGUCCUCUUUUCCCCGGACCAGGAGCUGGAGCUCCCUGAGGUUGUAACUGAUCUCAGAGCCUUCCCGCUUCCUGCCUAGAUGUUCCCACAUCUGUGGAAACGUGCACCCUUAGCACAUGGUCAGGGCCGGCAGCUCCUGAGGCCUUCACCCCAGCUGCCACACACAUACCCAUACACACAUUAACCCCACUCUGCUAUGGCCACAAAUGACCAGUUGUGCCACAGAGAUGGGCCUGAGAGACUGAACAACAAUACUUUGUCUCGAUGCCCUAUGUUUCUUCAAAGAUGGAAGCCUCUCUCAGCUUGGAGCCUUACCCUCAGCCGCCUGAGGUUGUGUCCAGUCCACACCCCUUCUGCAGGGCUCUGCCAAUGCUACAGACUCAUGAUAAUGGAAGCAGAGGGCCAGAGGGGUCGUUGAGAGAGAUCCUUUCUUUAGGGCCUUUUCCAGAUGUUAAACAGGAAUUCUGCUCUGUUCUGAAGCACAGAGAGCUCAGAGUUCAGGGGACGGGCCCAGCUCCCCUGUUGCCCACUCAGUGGUCUUGAGGAAAGCUCUCAUUUCUUCACCUCUGCAGUUAGAAUGAUAACCCUGCCUACACCUCCAGAGAAGGAUGUUAAGAGAAGCUCCCUCCCCGGAGGGUCCCCAGGCAGGCCCCUGGGGCAGCUCUGCAAGUGGCCCACACUGCAGGGCCAGAGUUCUCGUCAGGCCCCUGGAAGUGCCUGGGCCCUCUUCACUGUCCCCUUCCUGCCUUCUCUUUGACUGCUGACAUUUGAUUCUGUCUUGAAACGAGGCUGUAAGCUGCUGUGCAUUUUCUUCAUCUUUGUGUUUUCCCUCCCACCUCCUCUUCCUCUCCCACCCUAUCAGCAGCUCAUGCAGAGCUUAGCCCAGACUGGACACUUGAUAAUAGUUUGUCGAAAUGAUCAGUUCAUUUAGUAAUACGUGAGAUAAUGAACAAGAAAGCCCUGUGUAAACUGAGUUUUAUUUCUGCAACAGGUAGAAUGUCUCCAUGGCCAUAUUUAGGCAAAGCUCUUGCCACUUGUCACACACACAAGAAUUCAGGGCUGGGCAAGAGAGUCCAAUGUCCUGGAUGCCAGCCCUAUGCUGAAUGUCACCCCUGCCACAACCUUUUGUGACAAAUACAAAAUGACACCCAUAGUGCUUGUGCAUAGGAACUGCCCCUCCACAAUAUCAUACAGGUGAGCAUGUAGGGUCUAUGAGGUAAGCCUUUACAGCCUGGCACCAUCUCCCCAGCCUGUGACUGAAGGCUACCAGAAAUUCGGAAGCAAGUCCAGACUCCUUGCCAUGGACCCAGUUGCCCACAGUGAUGAGGCCGUGUGUCUGUCUCCAAGCUCACCUCGAACCUCCCUCCCCCUCACUCAGACAGCCAUGCACAGACCUUCUUGCUGCUCCUGCAACAGGGCUCUAAGGCUGCUGUCCCUCUGCUGUCGCCUUAAGCCUCAGACCUCAGGCCUCCCCCACCAGAGCUCCCCGUCACCAGGCUAACGCAGAUCUUGGCUCAUCAGUCAGUGUCUCAGCAGCCAUGUGUCUCUUUCAUAAUGUUGAUCGCCAUGUACGCAACUCCUGCGGCUGCCUGGCUGUUUUCUGUGACCCCUGCAGGCAGCAGGCAGAUCUCUCUCCCCCACUGUGGCAUCCUGUGGCUGUACACACAGCCAAGCCUUAAAAAAUAAUCAUUGAACAAACCAGAAGCUAUGAUCACAAAUGGUUUUAAAAUAAUACUGAUACUACUACACACCAAUUAGAAGGGCCAAAACCCAGAACACUGACAACAUCAAAUACCAAUAAGAACAUGGAGCGAUAAAGACUCUCAUUCGUCGCUGGGGGGAAUGCAAAAAGGUACAGCUACUUUAGAGACAGUUUGGCAGUUUUUUACAAAACCAAGCACACUCUUGCCAUACGAUUCCACAACUUCGUUCCUUGGUAUUUACACAAAGGAGUUGAAAACUUACAUGCACAUGGAUAUUUAUAGAAGCUUCAAUUAUAAUUGCCAAAACUUGGGAGCAACCCAGAUGUCCUUCAGUAGGUGCAUGGAUAAACUGUGGUCCAUCCAGACAAAACUGUGCAGACAGUAAGAAUACCAGGGGUUGCCAGGGGUUGACAGGGGUUGAGGGGAGGGUGAAUAUGUGGAACCCAGAGGAUCUUUAGGGCAGUGAGACUACCCUGUAUGAUCCUAUAAUGGUGGAUGCAUGUCAUCAUACACUUGUCCAAACCUAUAGAAUGCACCCCACUGGGAGAGAACCCUAAUGUAAACUAUGGACUCUGGGGGAUCAUGAUGAGUCAAGGCAGAUUCAUCAGUUGUAAUUUAUACAAUUUUGCUGUGAACCUAAAACUACUCUAAAAAAAAUUGUCUCCCUCCAGAAAAACCCUCCGUCAUGAUACGAGAUAUGAAAAUUUUAAAAACACAGUGAGUUAAACUCUUCCCCCUAUAAGACCAUCAAAGUUUAAUAAAAACCAGUUUGCCAGCAUACUGUGUUGACAAGCAUGUAGGGGAACAUUCUCUCAGACCUUCCCGGUGGAGCUGUUAAUUGUUCUAACCUGGUGGGAGGUGGGCGGGCAAUUUUGAAAUAUAUAUUUCAAAAUCACAGAUGCACAUAGCCUUUGAUCCAGCAAUUCCGCUUCUAGGAAUUUAGCCAACAAAUACACUUGCUUGCGCUUCUGCCAAAUGACCCAGGCAAGGCUGUUACACAUUGCAAUAUUGGUUGUAAUAGCAAAAGAUUGCAAACAACUUAAAAGUCCACCAAAAGAUUAUCUAGCUGAUUAGAUACAGUUACGGAACAGGGGACAGAAGAGUGUAUGCUGUUAGUGUGUACGACAGUUGAUUUGAUGUGUCAGCUUGACUGGGCCAUGGGGUGCCCAGACACCUAGUUAAACAAUAUUUCUGGGUGUGUCUUUGAGGGUGUUUCUGGAAGAGAUUAGCCUUUGAACUGGUGGACCGAGUAAAGCAGAUGAUCCUCUCCAAUGUAGGUGGGCAUCGUCCAAUAUGUUGAGGGCCUAAGUAGAUCAAAAAAGGCUGAACUAACUCUGUCUGACCCCGCCUGAGCUGACCUAUCAUCCUUUCCCUGCCCUUGGUGCUCCUGGUCCUCAAGCUUCGAUCUGAACUAGAAUCUCCACCACUGGCUAUCUGGCUCUCAAGCCUUGGAACUACACCAGCGGCCUUCCUGGGGCUCCAGCUUGCAGACGGCAGACUGUGGGACUUCUCAGCUCCGUAACCACAUGAGCCAAUACCUUACAAUCAGUCUCCUCUGAGAGAGAGCUGUAUGUCCUAUUGACUCCGUUUCACCGGAGAACUCUACAACAGUGUGAAAGAAGUAGAAGAAAAUAUGAGAAACUAUUAACAACAGUUACCUAUUGGUGAGAAGGAGGGAAACAGAUGGCUGGGAAAAGGGAAGAACGAGAGAGACUUCACUAAACAGCCUUUUAAAUUGUGUAAUCUGUUCAAAAGUAAAUCAAUCAUGUGUUAGCUGUUUAAAAAAUUAAAAAUCCCAAAAUCUUACCAAGAAGUUUAACAGAAAAACAAGUAAAAUACCGUUUUAAUUUAUACUCUUAUCUCCAUUUUGUAACUGGGACAACUAAGCAAAGAAAAAUAAGUUGCCCAGGGGAAGCAGAGAGGGCCUCUGCUCCCACACUGUACUCACCAUGCUCCAUCCCAGCCUCCUCGGAGACGUCCUUGGUGCAGAAUGGAGGGCUCAAUGGACAGGAAGUGUAAAGAAAGUGUCCCUACAUAUUCCAAACCCCCAUCAUGUCUAGGUUGACAUGCAGAAUUGGAUGGUCCUGCCAGGGAGCAUCCAGCCUGAAAAUCAGCUCCAGGUGCCACUUCAUAUUGACCCACAUAAUUCAGGGAGACUGAGGCUGAGCAGCCCCCACUGAACCCCCAAGUGAGGGGAUGGCUUGGCUGAGUUUCCAGGACCAACACCUCCAAAUGCAGCAGAACUGGACUCAUCACAUUUGGAGGGAAGAACCAAGCACAUCAGCACUCAAUUGUCCAGCGCAGUGUGACUCAUGGGCUAGAAAGCGAUAGACUUGACGUAGAUUGAUGGCUCGCUCAUCCCUACCUGGCACCUCAGGGCCACUUGCUGAGCUUCUCAGAGUCUCAUUGCAUUUGGCCCUGGAGCUGGAAUCAUGAUACCAAUCUUGCAAGGUUGUGAGAAAGAUUAGAGGUGUUCAAUGCAAAGAACCCAGAACAGUGUAUGCUCCUUGGUGAGAACACAAUGAAAGGCGACCCAAAUGAACAGCACAAACACCAUCAGCUGUCCAAAAACCAUGUGUCAUUGCCUCUAAAGUUCAGUCACUCCUGCCCUCCCCAACUCAUGGACUCUAGAGGAAGAUGGUUUGCAUCACGAAUCCCAGUUGUGCACUAACUACUGGUUUGACUUCAGGCAAAUCAUUUCUCUGUGCUUCAGUUUCUUAAUCUGCAAAAUAAGAUAAUAAUACUGACUACCUCGUUGACGAGGCACUUGAAACCAAAUCUCACACAUGGUAAGCGCUCUAUUAAGUAUUAGCCAUCAUCAUUAUUUACUUAGUUCCAAGUUUUAACCAUCGCUAAAUGUCAGUUUGGUCUUGCUUUUAACAGCCUGGCACCGAGUUGGAGGUAAGAGUGAAACUCUGUACUCCCGGUAAAGCUUUUCACACCCACGCCAAAUCCAAGAGACUCGCACUUGCAAAAGCUGUGGUCUCGACUUUUCUGGUUCUGCCCUUGGCUUGUAUUCAUUUGCUCAAUAUCCACUGAGAGCUUUAAAGAUUUACUCAGUGGAAACUGAAACCAACCCAAAUUAAACUAAACAAAGAAUAUAAUCAGUUUGCCCCAGAAAAGCUCCAUUUUUAAAAUUCUUUGCGAUUCCUUUUUGGGAUAUUCCUUUCCUCGCAGAGUUGGAUAAAAAUGUUCCUAGCUCCCUUCCAUUGACUCAUUCAAGAAACAUUAUUGAGUCCCCACAGGGUGUCAGACCCCAGACCAGGUCCUGGAGAGAGAAACACACGUAAAAUCAGUCCCCACUUUUAAGAAGCUCACACUGGGGAUCAGAGCAAAGCAGGUGGAGGAUGACAAUGCAAUGUGAGAGGAAAGGCGUGUUGCCCUGUAUGCAAGUGAGAUACAUAAGCAACAAAAUAAAAUCUGUUUUUAAAGUAUGUUCACGUGCUACUGGAACCAGCAAACACUGCUGCUGAAGAACCAAGAAAAAUGUUGCAACACACACCCAGCCCUUCCGAGUUUAGAAUUAGAAGACAUCGUCAAAAUUUCAGCAUGCAGCUCUCCAAAAACUAUGUACUUUAUAAGCUGAGAAUAUAAAUAAACUUCUUAGUAACAACAAUAUUAAUAGCACCAUUUUGUAUUUUUACUUCUUUUCUAUUCCAAGGACUUUCCUCCAUCUCUGCCCUUUAUGUUCCUAGCAUGAUCGCGUGGUGGAGCGGAAGGGUAGUCCUUAUCUCUAGAUUUUAGAGAUACAGAGGAGAUAAAAUAAUCAAGACUGAGAUUUGCCCUAGGUUGUUCAAAACGUACAAAGCCUCAGCAAAAGUAUCUGAUUCAGUCCCACUCUCAGCCGACUCGCUAACAGACGUGAAACGAGGUCAAAGGCCUCAGAAUUUAGGUUGGCGUAAGUUACUGUAGGAAACUAUUGCCUUUGGUAAUGAGUGACCCAAAAAGACAAGAAACUGAACCCAAAGGGGCAGAAUAGGAAGCCAGAAGGCUUUACAAAGGGUUUCUGUUUUUUUUAAUAGAUAGGCUUUUUUUUUUUUUAAAGAUUGGCAUGUGAGCUAACAACUGUUGCCAAUCUUCGGGUUUUUUUCCUGCUUUUUCUCCCCAAAUGCCCCCAGUACAUAGUUGUAUAUUUCAGUUGUGGGUCCUUCUAGUGGUGGUAUGUGGGACACCGCCUCAGCGUGGCCUGAUGAGCUGACCCAUGUCUGUGCCCAGGAUCCGAACCGGUGAAACCCUGGGCCGUCGAAGCAGAGAGCGCGAACUUAACCAUUAAGCCAUGCGGCCAGACCCUACAAAGGGUUUCUUUAAAGCAAAUUAAGACAACAAAAUACCUUUUGCCAGUUAUCAGACUAGCACACUUAAAAAAAAAAAAAAGGUAAAAUUCAAUGCUGGUAAAAGUGUAGGAAAAUGGUAUUCCUACAUGCUGGAGAGAGUAUGAAUUAUUAGCUCUUUCCUAGAUUAAUUUAGCAGCAGGAUCAAGAGCUUCAAAACUGCUCACACCUUUGACCCCACAAUUCCUGUUCUGGAAAUUUAUCCCAAGGAAAUAAUGAGGAAGAGAAGCAAAGCUUUCGCUACAAGGAGGUUGAUUUAGGUAAUGUCAAUAAUAGAAAAGAAAACAAGCAAAUAUCUACCAACAUGAUUUGGUAAAUUAUCUGUGUAAUAUGAUUAAAAAAUCUUUUGUAGAGGGGCCGGCCCGUGGCGCAGCGGUUAAGCUCGCAUGCUCCACUUUAGCGGCCCAGGGUUCACCAGUGCGGACCUGCAGUACUGCUAGUCAAGCCAUGCUGUGUCAGGCAACCCUCAUAUAAAGUAGAGGAAGAUGGGCAUGGAUGUUAGCUCAGGGCCAGUCUUCCUCAGCAAAAGGAGGAGAAUUUGCAGCAGAUGUUAGCUCAGGGCUAAUCUUCCUCAAAAAAUAAAAAAGCUUUUUCAGAAAGAAAUUCACUAGCGGGGCUCACAAUAUAUUGCUCAAGCAGGUAAUAAAACAGCAUGGACAGUACACGUAUGUGUUUUCAAAAUGUAAAUGUGUUCAGAGAAAAAUAUACCCACCAAAAUGUUAACAGUGUUUAUCUCACAACGUUAGGUUUCUCUUUUUCAUCUUUUUUACUUAUGUCUAGGUAUUCUUUUUAAAUUUUCUUUUUGACAGUGAGCAUGUGCUGCUUGUGUACAUUUUAAAGGAGAUAUUUUAGAAGUGGAUCUUAGCCACUCCUCGACCAUGCCUGUCAAGUUUUUCUCCUAAGUAAACUAAUAGAUGUGUGCCCAAAAGGGUUUGUGGGUGAAGAGAUUAACAGCUGCCUGCUGAAUUGAGAAAGGCCACAGUGUCUUUUUAAAUUCACCACCACUGUCAGAAGGCCAAAGUCAUCUCAGGAAGGCUCCCCACUCCUUCUGGCAGCAUUGCCUUCUUGCCUUUCCCAUCGGAUCCACGCAUCUACAGUGAAUGCAAAUCCUGCCUCGGCCUCCAACACACACAUCGUGGUCUCCAGUCGCCUGAGGCUGACACUGUGAUUUACCAAACUGGUCACUAGCCGCAUCUCUUGAAACAUCCUUCCCACCAUCCAGCUUUCACACCCUCAUAGCCGCAGUGCAAACCAGCAUUUUGCAUAAGAGCGAGGAGUUUUAAGUUGAAUUGAAUUGAACGGUAAACCUCAUUUUGUUCUCCUUUUUAUUUUCUUCUUUCCUUGCUUUAAUCUUUCAGAUUCUGUCCUAUUUUCUUAUUUCCCACAACAACACUAGUGUUAGGAAUUAUGGAGGUCAAGGGUGUUGAAUAAGGAAUGCAAGGCAGUGUGCAUCACCCCCCUGAGAGCACCGUCCUCCUCUCAGCUAUAGGCGUCACACCUGCAAGCUCCGAAAAAACAUACUCAUGAGUAUUAGAUGACAUGUUAAGCCCAUGCUGAAGGAAAUAUGUACAAGUCUUGCUACUACAAUACAUAUAACUUAAAAACAACCACUGGUUGUGUUAAUAAUAAUGCAAUGCUUUCAGCCAAAUAUUGGGCCAGAUUACGCCUCUCGAAAACUGCAGAAGCUCAACAGAGAGUGAUAAAAUGUCUUAAUUCUAACAUCAGCAACUGCAUUUUACAAGGAGUUUGUUUACAAUACCCUUCAAUUAAACCUCACAAUUUACCAAAAGUCACAUCAGUAUUUAUGGCUUAGAGGUAGUAUGUAGUUUAUACAUUUCCCAUAUAUUUCAUAGUUAGUCUUCCAUAGAAUAUAGCAUGCAUAAUCAUAGGUGAUCUUUUAAUACGGCUCACGGACACAUCUUAAGGUUAAAUAUGCCUGCAGAACCAUGUAACUCUGAGAAAUCCUGAAAAUCUUGUUUCAACAAACAGCAUAACAUUAUCAGUUGUAUCGGAUUCCAUUUCCCCUCCUAAAUACUUCAUCCUUGUGUAAGUAAGCAAAAAGAUAGGGAGGAAAAAAUACAGAAACAAAACCCCGAAGUGCGAUCAGUCGUCUUACCGUCCCCUCCUCAUCGCUGGGCCGUGUGCGAGCGCUGGCCCCCCGGGUGGUGGGAACUCUCAGAGAAGCCCGCAGGGUUUCUUCCCCCAAAUGAGGCCAGCUGAGCUGAUGUCGGUUAUUAAAAACAAAAGUGCAUUUUGAAGCCUGGAUAGAGUUGCUAAUUCCCUUUUACUUUUUCCAAAAGAGCUUUGGGUCUGGUCCUGCAGCACGAGAGUGACACCUCACAUCUUGUCAGACGACCCAACUGUGCCGAGGCUAAAAGAAAGAAGAAAGCGGGCUCUGGGUGACGCCUGUGUCAGAGGCUGUUAGGGCUUUAAUCCUCGGCAGUGACACAUGUGGGGAACUAUGAACAGGAAACUCAGCGCCAGGCAGACAGCCAGAAUCACUCAGAAAACGU